UCUCGGCUUAUCACCGGCAGUCCCCUUAGAGUGCCCAACCAAAUGAUGGCAACUAAGGGCGAGGGUUGCGCUCGUUGCGGGACUUAACCCAACAUCUCACGACACGAGCUGACGACAGCCAUGCAGCACCUGUGUCCACGCCCCUUGCGGGGAGGAACCCGUCUCCGGGAACCGUCGUGGCAUGUCAAGCGUAGGUAAGGUUUUUCGCGUUGCAUCGAAUUAAUCCACAUCAUCCACCGCUUGUGCGGGUCCCCGUCAAUUCCUUUGAGUUUUAAUCUUGCGACCGUACUCCCCAGGCGGUCUACUUCCCGCGUUAGCUGCGUUACCAAGGAAAUUAAUCCCCGACACCUAGUGCUCACCGUUUACGGCGUGGACUAC
rnacentral:misc_RNA from 1 species